rnacentral:rRNA from 1 species
AACCUGCACCCUCGAGUGGUCAGGAGGUUUAUUGGGCCUAAAGCAUCCGCAGCCGGUUGCAUAAGUUUUCGGUUAAAUCUAUGCGCUCAACGUAUAGGCCGCCGAAAAUACUGUGCAGCUAGGGAGUGGGAGAGGUACACGGUACUCAAUAGGAAGGGGUAAAAUCCUUUGAUCUAUUGAUGACCACCUGUGGCGAAGGCGGUGUACCAGAACACGUUCGACGGUGAGGGAUGAAAGCUGGGGGAGCAAACCGGAUUAGAUACCCCGGUACGU